AGGACGAACGCUGGCGGCGUGCUUAACACAUGCAAGUCGAGCGAGGCCCCUUCCUUCGGGAGGGGAGCCCUAGCGGCGAACGGGUGAGUAACACGUGGGCAAUCUGCCCCUAGCACUGGGAUAACUCCGGGAAACCGGGGCUAAUACUGGAUAUGACCGAUCCAUGCAUGUGGGUUGGUGGAAAGUUUUUCGGCUAGGGAUGGGCCCGCGGCCUAUCAGCUUGUUGGUGGGGUGAUGGCCUACCAAGGCGACGACGGGUA
rnacentral:rRNA from 1 species